UCCCGUAGGUAGGUUUGGGGGCUUGCUGUUGCGUAGGCAGGCGGGGUAGGAGGGAGCGCGUCUUCGGUUUGGGAGGGAGGGGAAGCGGCUGCUGCUGCUACCGGCGGCGCCGCCUCUUCUGCCGGCUCCUCUAGGCGGCGCUCGAGGUUCUCGAGGUCGCGGUCGUGGCGCUCUAGUCGCUCGCGGACGCGCUGGGGGCACCGGAGGCUGCGCCGCGGGGGCGGUGGCCGGGGCCUCCGGGGGCGGGCGAGGCGCCGAAGCGCUCUGUCCGAGGCCUCGGCCACCUGGUUGGCCUCGGGUUCGCGGCCGAAGACAGACGGCACCAAUUUCACCUACCGGGACCUUGAUUACCCCUACUACGCCCCCGCCUCCCCGCACUCCUACCUGGUUGACGGCGAGUUCCACCACUCUCCUCCCCCCGGUCAUUACCACCACCCAAGUCCUCCCUACCCUCGGUCACCCACAGCUCUUCCCUCGAACUAUUAGUCGACGGUCUCGGAGAGGGCUCCGGCCGAGGGUUCCUUCUCCUAGUCUCGAACCACUCCUCCUUGUUCUCUUACGACCCCUUCGAAGAACAACCGUGCGAUCUCUUUAAAGUCGUUCUCUUGUUUUUUGAAAGGUUGAGUCUCCGAAAAUACGCAUCUAGUCUCCGAGUCGUCUUCCGACUAGUUUUCCGAGCACUCCUGUCACUUUCUAACGCCGUCGUUCUCGCCCUCGUUCGUCGACUCUUCGCAUCCGCACUAUACUGCGAAGCACGAGCUCAUCGACGAUUCCGUCUUCUUUUCUCCAACCUCGAUAACAUGUAAGUCACCAGACUCGUAGUGUUUUUCGACAGGUCAAAGAAUUCCUGUUUUCGACUUGGUCGAUAAAUAAUGUACGGCCGAUUUGGUUAUCAACUACUAGGCCAAUAACAACUCGUUUUGUUCCUUUUCCAUAAACUUCUUACCUUUAGACACGCGUCUUGCCUCGACUGGGUCAAAGUUUUCGUUCAACUCCUCGUCAUAGACAGAUUACAACUCUCAGUCGAGCUUUCUUAAGUCUUACGGGCCUUACGAGCCUCCCCCUUGCACGGACGAUUGUACGUCCUUUACCUGUUCCUCAACCUGUGCGUGUCCCGCCUCGUACCGGGUUUCCGAGCCUCCUAUGGGCUGCCACCGUUACUGCUCCUACUACUACACCUACACCUGCUGUACCGGCGCCUUCUGCUGGACUACCUACUUCACGAGCCGCAAUUACUCCGCUAGUUACUCCUGGGCUGGUUCGGUAGACUUCUCCGAUGACUACAACGAGGACAUGGCGUCCUCCGUGUUAUCCGUUCCAAUAAACGCUCCAUCCGUGAAGCCGUAAUGCUAAGAAGAUAUAGCAACAUCAACGGGAGAAGACGACACUGACAUAACAACAACCCAAAAACAGAAACCCUUACGACACUCGACACAAACGACAACUCCGGUAUAUGUAUGAAAAGUGAUAACAAUAACAGUAAACGUGCAUGAGGCGCAGUCGAGAAAAUUCUAGUUCACAGUUGGGCGCUUUUGUUAGUAGUACGCUAGUUGGACAAGAAGUGGACGCGGUAGCCGCAUGUCCCCAACUCGAUGACAACUACUGCAACUAGCGACAUGUAAGUUCAACAUACGAACCAUUUGGUGAAAAUAACACGGUUACCAAGAUAAGGAAGAUCUAGAUUUAAGAGGAACGAUUAAGUAAGCUUUUAAGAUUACUCACCGUUACUGGC
rnacentral:rRNA from 1 species